AAUGGCCGCAGUAUUUUGACUGUGCAAAGGUAGCAUAAUCAUUAGUUUUUUAAAUGAAAGCUGGUAUGAAUGGUUUGAUGAAAAAUUAACUGUCUCAUUUUAAUUUUAUUAGAAUUUUAUUUUUAAGUGAAAAUGCUUAAAUGUUUUAUAAAGACGAGAAGACCCUAUAGAGUUUAAUAUUAUAAUAAUUUAUUUAUUUUAUGUUUUUAAUUUAGAUUUUUUGUUUUGGUAUUUUGCUGGGGCGGUUAGAAAAUUUAUUUAACUUUUCUUUUAUUUUUACAUUUAUUUUUGAGUUUAUGAUCCUUUUUAUUGAUUUUAAGAUUAAAUUACCUUAGGGAUAACAGCGUAAUUUUUUUGGAAAGUUCAUAUUUAUAAAAAAGUUUGCGACCUCGAUGUUGGAUUAAAAUUUAUUUUUGGUGAAGAAGCUGAAAUAUUA
rnacentral:rRNA from 1 species